AGUGAACGCUGGCGGUAGGCCUAACACAUGCAAGUCGAACGGCAGCACAGUAAGAGCUUGCUCUUACGGUUGGCGAGUGGCGGACGGGUGAGGCAUACAUCGGAAUCUACUUUUUCGUGGGGGAUAACGUAGGGAAACUUACGCUAAUACCGCAUACGACCUACGGGUGAAAGCAGGGGAUCUUCGGACCUUGCGCGAUUGAAUGAGCCGAUGUCGGAUUAGCUAGUUGGCGGGGUAAAGGCCCACCAAGGCGACGAUCCGUAGCUGGUCUGAGAGGAUGAUCGGCCACACUGGAACUGAGACACGGUCCAGACUCCUACGGGAGGCAGCAGUGGGGAAUAUUGGACAAUGGGCGCAAGCCUGAUUCAGCCAUACCGCGUGGGUGAAGAAGGCCUUCGGGUCGUAAAGCCCUUUUGUUGGGAAAGAAAAGCAGCAGGUUAAUACCUCGACGUUCUGACGGUACCCAAAGAAUAAGCACCGGCUAACUUCGUG
rnacentral:rRNA from 1 species